UUUUCUGUUGGCAUUCUUUUUUUUUUUUUUUUGAUAUAUAGGUUGUUGUGGAUUAACUGCUUUAUUCCUCUAUUUCACAGCGCCAAGGCAGAUUUCCAUUUUUUAAUGACUGUGAUUCCAGGCUCUGGUUGAAGGCAUAUUGGUGCAAGAGAAGAGGCUAUAUUGAGGAGGCUCAUACCAGAGUGUGGACUGGUGAUUGGUCAGAAUGCUAGAUAGGCAUACAUCAUACUCAGAGGAAGACAAUGGCAACAGUUUUUUCUGUUGGCCUUUUUCUUUAGCCAAAUAGGUUGUUGUGGAUUGACUACUUUAUUCCUUUAUUUCACAGUGCUGAGGCAGGUUUCCAUUUUUUUAUGACUGUGAUUCCAGGCGUAUUGGUGCAAGAGGAUAAGGCUAAAUGGAGGAGGGCCAUACCACAGAUUGUAGGCUGGUGAUUGGUCAGAAGCUAAAUAGAAACACUUCUCACUGAGAGGAAGAAAAAGGCACAUUCCUUUCCUGUUGGCCUUUUUUUUUUUGCUAAAUAGGUUGUUGUUUCCUUUAUUUCACAGGGUUAAGGCAGAUUUCCAUUUUCUAAUGACUAUCGUUCCAGGUAUGAGGCUAGCUUGCCCACAUGCGAAGUUAGUAUGUAGAGCCUAAUUUAUUUAUUUCCUUUGCCACAUAUUUCCGAAGACUCGUUAGGAAACAGAUCAAUAUAAGUCCGUAAAGUUCUGUAUUAUGUUUUAAAGUUGACUUCAAAUCAGAUUCCUCUGAUCAAAUAUUUCAGGAUAGAAUAUAGGGAACCAAAAAGAGAAAAGCAAGGCAUUGGGGCAUUCCGAGAAUCGAACUCGGGACCCCUCGCACCCAAAGCGAGAAUCAUACCACUAGACCAAAUGCCCACCUUUUUAUAUGUAUCAUGUCUGGUUCAUACUUAUGAUACAUUUUCUCCAAGGGCUCCUGUUAAUUUUCAA